AGGGGUAUGUCUCAGUGAUAGAGUACCUGCUUAGGAAGCACAAGGCCCUGAGUUUAAACCCCAGUACUGCCA
rnacentral:tRNA from 1 species